GAUGAACGCUGGCGGCGUGCCUAAUACAUGCAAGUCGAGCGAACGGACGAGAAGCUUGCUUCUCUGAUGUUAGCGGCGGACGGGUGAGUAACACGUGGAUAACCUACCUAUAAGACUGGGAUAACUUCGGGAAACCGGAGCUAAUACCGGAUAAUAUUUUGAACCGCAUGGUUCAAAAGUAAAAGACGGUCUUGCUGUCACUUAUAGAUGGAUCCGCGCUGCAUUAGCUAGUUGGUAAGGUAACGGCUUACCAAGGCAACGAUGCAUAGCCGACCUGAGAGGGUGAUCGGCCACACUGGAACUGAGACACGGUCCAGACUCCUACGGGAGGCAGCAGUAGGGAAUCUUCCGCAAUGGGCGAAAGCCUGACGGAGCAACGCCGCGUGAGUGAUGAAGGUCUUCGGAUCGUAAAACUCUGUUAUUAGGGAAGAACUUAUGUGUAAGUAACUGUGCACAUCUUGACGGUACCUAAUCAGAAAGCCACGGCUAACUACGUG
rnacentral:rRNA from 1 species